rnacentral:lncRNA from 1 species
CCAAAGAAAUUUCAUCCUAAGAAGAACACCUUCCCAUUCUCCAACAUUCAUAUGUAAACUGAAACAAAUAUAGAUCUCCAUUAUAAUCAUUCAACCCAUGUGAGACGCCUGGAGGCUGGAAAUGUUCCUGAAGGCUUGGCAGUGGAAGAAUCAAGCCUGCAGAGGAAGGGGGACUGCAAUUUAGAGAGCUCCAUUUUGUGUGUGACACAUUGGAAAAGGGGAGAAUACACAUGCACCUCGAUGUAUGACAAAUCUUUUCUCGGGAGACACAACACAUGGGUCUUACUACAGGUAGGAAACUCACAACACACCAAAGUAUGGAUUCCACCCAAAGUCUAACUUCAUGAACUAUGAGUCUUACUGAGG